rnacentral:rRNA from 7 species
GGGUUGUGAGGUUAAGCGACUAAGCGUACACGGUGGAUGCCCUGGCAGUCAGAGGCGAUGAAGGGCGUGCUAAUCUGCGAUAAGCGCCGGUAAGGUGAUAUGAACCGUUAUAACCGGCGAUACCCGAAUGGGGAAACCCAGUGUGAUUCGUCACACUAUCAUUAACUGAAUCCAUAGGUUAAUGAGGCGAACCGGGGGAACUGAAACAUCUAAGUACCCCGAGGAAAAGAAAUCAACCGAGAUUCCCCCAGUAGCGGCGAGCGAACGGGGAGGAGCCCAGAGCCUGAAUCAGCAUGUGUGUUAGUGGAAGCGUCUGGAAAGGCGCGCGAUACAGGGUGACAGCCCCGUACACAAAAGCGCAUGUGCUGUGAGCUCGAUGAGUAGGGCGGGACACGUGGUAUCCUGUCUGAAUAUGGGGGGACCAUCCUCCAAGGCUAAAUACUCCUGACUGACCGAUAGUGAACCAGUACCGUGAGGGAAAGGCGAAAAGAACCCCGGCGAGGGGAGUGAAAAAGAACCUGAAACCGUGUACGUACAAGCAGUGGGAGCCCCACCACUAAGCCAGUGGUGAACUCCACAUACGCAUCCUUUGCUGAGGAUACGGUUAACGGAGCGAAAGCGACGUUCAACCGCAAAACAAGCAGAGGGGGCUUAGUGGUGGGGUGACUGCGUACCUUUUGUAUAAUGGGUCAGCGACUUAUAUUCUGUAGCAAGGUUAACCGAAUAGGGGAGCCGUAGGGAAACCGAGUCUUAACCGGGCGUUAAGUUGCAGGGUAUAGACCCGAAACCCGGUGAUCUAGCCAUGGGCAGGUUGAAGGUUGGGUAACACUAACUGGAGGACCGAACCGACUAAUGUUGAAAAAUUAGCGGAUGACCUGUGGCUGGGGGUGAAAGGCCAAUCAAACCGGGAGAUAGCUGGUUCUCCCCGAAAGCUAUUUAGGUAGCGCCUCGUGAAUUCAUCUCCGGGGGUAGAGCACUGUUUCGGCUAGGGGGCCAUCCCGGCUUACCAACCCGAUGCAAACUGCGAAUACCGGAGAAUGUUAUCACGGGAGACACACGGCGGGUGCUAACGUCCGUCGUGAAGAGGGAAACAACCCAGACCGCCAGCUAAGGUCCCAAAGUCAUGGUUAAGUGGGAAACGAUGUGGGAAGGCCCAGACAGCCAGGAUGUUGGCUUAGAAGCAGCCAUCAUUUAAAGAAAGCGUAAUAGCUCACUGGUCGAGUCGGCCUGCGCGGAAGAUGUAACGGGGCUAAACCAUGCACCGAAGCUGCGGCAGCGAACGUAUCACUUAAAGCGAUUCAGCGGGUUACGAUUGACGGAGCGAAGCGACGUCAAAGCGUAUACAAAGUCGAGUCGGUUUAAGGAUACGUUCGUUGGGUAGGGGAGCGUUCUGUAAGCCUGCGAAGGUGGCCUGUGAGGGUUGCUGGAGGUAUCAGAAGUGCGAAUGCUGACAUAAGUAACGAUAAAGCGGGUGAAAAGCCCGCUCGCCGGAAGACCAAGGGUUCCUGUCCAACGUUAAUCGGGGCAGGGUGAGUCGACCCCUAAGGCGAGGCCGAAAGGCGUAGUCGAUGGGAAACGGGUUAAUAUUCCCGUACUUGGUGUUACUGCGAAGGGGGGACGGAGAAGGCUAUGUUGGCCGGGCGACGGUUGUCCCGGUUUAAGCGUGUAGGUGUGUGUUCCAGGUAAAUCCGGUUCACUUUAACACUGAGGCGUGACGACGAGGCACUACGGUGCUGAAGCAACAAAUGCCCUGCUUCCAGGAAAAGCCUCUAAGCAUCAGGUAACAUCAAAUCGUACCCCAAACCGACACAGGUGGUCAGGUAGAGAAUACCAAGGCGCUUGAGAGAACUCGGGUGAAGGAACUAGGCAAAAUGGUGCCGUAACUUCGGGAGAAGGCACGCUGAUAUGUAGGUGAAGCGGUUUACCCGUGGAGCUGAAAUCAGUCGAAGAUACCAGCUGGCUGCAACUGUUUAUUAAAAACACAGCACUGUGCAAACACGAAAGUGGACGUAUACGGUGUGACGCCUGCCCGGUGCCGGAAGGUUAAUUGAUGGGGUCAGCGCAAGCGAAGCUCCUGAUCGAAGCCCCGGUAAACGGCGGCCGUAACUAUAACGGUCCUAAGGUAGCGAAAUUCCUUGUCGGGUAAGUUCCGACCUGCACGAAUGGCGUAAUGAUGGCCAGGCUGUCUCCACCCGAGACUCAGUGAAAUUGAACUCGCUGUGAAGAUGCAGUGUACCCGCGGCAAGACGGAAAGACCCCGUGAACCUUUACUAUAGCUUGACACUGAACAUUGAGCCUUGAUGUGUAGGAUAGGUGGGAGGCUUUGAAGUGUGGACGCCAGUCUGCAUGGAGCCGACCUUGAAAUACCACCCUUUAAUGUUUGAUGUUCUAACGUGGACCCGUAAUCCGGGUUGCGGACAGUGUCUGGUGGGUAGUUUGACUGGGGCGGUCUCCUCCUAAAGAGUAACGGAGGAGCACGAAGGUUGGCUAAUCCUGGUCGGACAUCAGGAGGUUAGUGCAAUGGCAUAAGCCAGCUUGACUGCGAGCGUGACGGCGCGAGCAGGUGCGAAAGCAGGUCAUAGUGAUCCGGUGGUUCUGAAUGGAAGGGCCAUCGCUCAACGGAUAAAAGGUACUCCGGGGAUAACAGGCUGAUACCGCCCAAGAGUUCAUAUCGACGGCGGUGUUUGGCACCUCGAUGUCGGCUCAUCACAUCCUGGGGCUGAAGUAGGUCCCAAGGGUAUGGCUGUUCGCCAUUUAAAGUGGUACGCGAGCUGGGUUUAGAACGUCGUGAGACAGUUCGGUCCCUAUCUGCCGUGGGCGCUGGAGAACUGAGGGGGGCUGCUCCUAGUACGAGAGGACCGGAGUGGACGCAUCACUGGUGUUCGGGUUGUCAUGCCAAUGGCACUGCCCGGUAGCUAAAUGCGGAAGAGAUAAGUGCUGAAAGCAUCUAAGCACGAAACUUGCCCCGAGAUGAGUUCUCCCUGAGACUUAGAGUCUCCUGAAGGAACGUUGAAGACGACGACGUUGAUAGGCCGGGUGUGUAAGCGCAGCGAUGCGUUGAGCUAACCGGUACUAAUGAACCGUGAGGCUUAACCUUACAACGCCGAAG